rnacentral:lncRNA from 1 species
CCUACAUUUACAGAUCCCUCAGUGCCGUGCAUCUGCGAGCCAGCCUUCAAAGCUCCUCACAGGCCACCGGAACACAGACGGACCCUGACUGCAGACUACCACUCGAGAUCGUUCCUCUCGGCUGGACAUUUAUAAUCUCUUCGAACUUUAUGAUUCGCAGCCGUACUCUCCCACUUUCGUGUUCGAGAACGGACUGCGACUCAUAAAUUUGUCUUAGCUUGGACGCCAUUAUUGUUACGAACCUGUUUUGGUGUUGGGGCAAGGCCGGCUAGCCAGUCAUCCCAGGGCUGAGUUCUUCCCAGGCCCCCAGGUCGCACAACAAACCAACUGUUCGGACAUCUCGAACAAAUAUCAAAAACAAACGAUAAUUCAAAACAAUGCAUCGGACUUUACUCUACAUCUAACGGACAAACAUCUCUCCAACACAGACGUGGACAAGUCUGAGGUGCCGAUGGUCUAGC